rnacentral:rRNA from 1 species
ACACCAGACUCCUACGGGAGGCAGCAGUGGGGGAUAUUGGACAAUGGGGGGAACCCUGAUCCAGCGACGCCGCGUGAGUGAAGAAGUCAUUCGUGCUGUAAAGCUCUAUCAGCAGGGAAGAAAAUGACGGUACCUGACCAAGAAGCCCCGGCUAACUACGUGCCAGCAGCCGCGGUAAUACGUAGGGGGCAAGCGUUAUCCGGAUUUAUUGGGUUUAAAGGGUGCGUAGGCGGAAUAUCAAGUCAGCGGUAAAAAUUCGGGGCUCAACCUCGCUCCGCCGUUGAAACUGGCGUUCUUGAGUGGGCGAGAAGUAUGCGGAAUGCGUGGUGUAGCGGUGAAAUGCAUAGAUAUCACGCAGAACUCCGAUUGCGGAGGCAGCAUACCGGCGCCCAACUGACGCUGAAGCACGAAAGCGUGGGGAUCGAACAGGAUUAGAUACCCGCGUAUCA